UUCCAAGAAUUACGUCGAAUUCUCCUAACUUUAUCGGUAUCAGAUCUAUCGAUAAUUUACAACUCGAAUGUCUACGCAACAACUCCUAUGAAUAUCUUUAACAGGAGUUUUCUCUUCGUUUGCUACCUUAAUGUUCAAAGGUAUAGGCAACUUUUCGGGAAGUAAUCCUAGUCAUCUAGCAAAAUCACAUGCGAUAAACGAAC
rnacentral:lncRNA from 1 species